rnacentral:rRNA from 1 species
GAUGAACGCUGGCGGCGUGCCUAAUACAUGCAAGUCGAGCGAAGCGGGGACGGGUGAGUAACACGUGGAUAACCUCCUAUAAGACUGGGUAAACUUCGGACAACCGGAGCUCAACAGGAUACUUAUAGAUGACUACUCGCUGCAUUAGCUAGUUGGUAAGGUAACGGCUUACCAAGGCAACGAUCCAUAACCGACCUGCGAGGGUGAUCGGCCACACUGGAACUGAGACACGGCCCAGACUCCUACGGGAGGCAGAAGUAGGGAAUCUUCCGCAAUUGGCGAAAGCCUGACGGAGCAACGCCGCGUGAGUGAUGAAGGUCUUCUGAUCGUAACACUCUGUUAUUAGGGAAGCGGUACCUAAUCAGAAAGCCACGGCUAACUACGUGCCAGCAGCCGCGGUAAUAC